rnacentral:misc_RNA from 1 species
GUGCAGAAUGCAAUAAUUUUUUUUUGGUGAUGGCGCUGUGGUUGUACGUCGUCUCUUAGUUUUUAUCAAAUAUUUGUGUUAAACAAAUAUUGGUAUCAAUGUAACAAAGAGCGAUAUAAAUUUUUCAAAUCUGUUGGAAGAAAAAGGCCGAAUACGGCCAAACAAAUUAGUUAUUUUAAAUUAAACAAUCUUUUUUUACACAGAUAUUAAUGCUUUACUUAUAACAAAUUCAAGAUACAGAUUCAUUUACCAAUUUACUGGGGAAAAUUUGGGCUUCUUGGCACUAUUUUAAAAUUCCAAUCUUUAGCAAAUUUCUGCAUUGAAAGACUGUUAAAAGGAAUAUUGUCGCAAAUUAAAAGGUCUGGACAUCCAAACAUCCUGCAAAAAUUGAUUUUAAUUUUUUUCAUGAUUUUGGUUGACGAUUUGCUUUUAAUUGAGACAAGCUCUAACUAAUUCAAUUAUGAAUCAUAAAUACUAUAGAUAGCUAGAAUUUGCAAAAGAAAAAAUAUCAGUGGCAACUAUCUCCCAUGGCCUUUAGGGUCGUAAUAGAUAGGCCUAGACUAAUAUUAUUAAGAUCUAAUAAUCUAAAGGCUGGAAUACCUAUAAUACACUUUUUUAUAUUUCAUUGCUAUGCUUUUUCUCACUAUUGAUUUCUUUUCAUUCUCAAAAACGACUUUGAUAUUGGGAACUCCAUCUACCACUAGGGGCGAAAAGCAGACAUCACACAGGGCAGAUGCAUCCAUGUCCGUUGUGAGCUACUGUAAAAUUGUAUUUUUUUACUUAACUGGCGAAAAAUUGUAUUUUUUUUGCUUUUAAUUCAACGGCGAACGUUCUGUAGGAACCUUAAGUCUUCAUUCAGUACAAUAGUAAACAAUUGAAUUACAAUGUGGACAGUACAAUAAUGCACAUACUAAUCGUGAUUGUAAAAUUAUUACACAUUUAAAGUGUGAAAACUUUAAAACUGGAAUACAAGCACAAACAGUAAAAAAAAUUAGGGUAUUAAAUAGAGUUGGGCAUGGUCAAUUGACCAACACCUAUUUGACCAGUCAAUUUCGGUCAAAAUAUAUAAAAUAUUCAAAAACCAUUUAUUUAUGUUUUAUUUAGAGUUUUAUGAUAUAAGUAAGUGCAUUAAUUUCAUUUUAAUAUUUAUACAUUAUUGAAAGCAGUCCAAUUUACUCACAACCGUCUUCUACGAAAUCCGAUACACCUGAUUCGGGGAAUCUCAACACUCGCAACAAAACGACUGAAAACGUAUUUCGUAUUUACUAGCGUUAGAGAUUGUAGCUGGAGCUGUACUCAUAAUUAUUGGAUUUUUGUGAACUAACAACGUAAUUACAAUGAGUUUGGGCAAGUCCAAAACCAAAAUUUGGAAUUGUUUCACGGAAACUCGCGUAGAAAUUAAAGUGAAAGGCAAAUGUAACUACUGUGAAGCAGUUUACAUCACUCAUGCCGAUAGAAUGCAGAAUCACAUACUCAAAAAGUGCAAAUCAGUUCCAGAAGCGGUUCGACAAGAUUAUACUGAAGAUUGUUAAGGUUCAACAUAGGAUAGCAAAAUGCUUUAACGGGAUGCACGUCACACACAGUGCUUGUGUGUGUUAUCCAUACAUUACCUAUAAUAUAAACAUCUCUAUAUUGUUGGUAUUUCCUAAAUUUAUAUGUAUAUAAUGUUCAUUAUGGGUAAUAAAAUGGUUUUGAACUGAAGUAAAAUUAAAUUAAAAGUAUUAAGAGAUGUGAUUUUUU